AACGAACGCUGGCGGCAUGCCUAACACAUGCAAGUCGAACGAGACCUUCGGGUCUAGUGGCGCACGGGUGCGUAACGCGUUGGAACCUGCCCUUAGGUUCGGAAUAACUCCCCGAAAGGGGUGCUAAUACCGGUUAAUGUCUUCGGACCAAAGAUUUAUCGCCUUUGGAUGGGCCCGCGUUGGAUUAGCUAGUUGGUAGGGUAAAAGCCUACCAAGGCGACGAUCCAUAGCUGGUCUGAGAGGAUGAUCAGCCACACUGGGACUGAGACACGGCCCAGACUCCUACGGGAGGCAGCAGUGGGGAAUAUUGGACAAUGGGCGAAAGCCUGAUCCAGCAAUGCCGCGUGAGUGAUGAAGGCCUUAGGGAUGUAAAGCUCUUUUACCCGGGAUGAUAAUGACAGUACCGGGAGAAUAAGCACCGGCUAACUCCGUG
rnacentral:rRNA from 1 species